rnacentral:rRNA from 1 species
GACGAACGCUGGCGGCGUGCCUAAUACAUGCAAGUAGAACGCACAGGAUGCACCGUAGUUUACUACACCGUAUUCUGUGAGUUGCGAACGGGUGAGUAACGCGUAGGUAACCUGCCUGGUAGCGGGGGAUAACUAUUGGAAACGAUAGCUAAUACCGCAUAAGAACAUUUACUGCAUGGUAGAUGUUUAAAAGGUGCAAAAGCAUCACUACCAGAUGGACCUGCGUUGUAUUAGCUAGUUGGUGAGGUAACGGCUCACCAAGGCAACGAUACAUAGCCGACCUGAGAGGGUGAUCGGCCACACUGGGACUGAGACACGGCCCAGACUCCUACGGGAGGCAGCAGUAGGGAAUCUUCGGCAAUGGGGGGAACCCUGACCGAGCAACGCCGCGUGAGUGAAGAAGGUUUUCGGAUCGUAAAGCUCUGUUGUUAAGGAAGAACGUGUGUGAGAGUGGAAAGUUCACACAGUGACGGUACUUAACCAGAAAGGGACGGCUAACUACGUGCCAGCAGCCGCGGUAAUACGUAGGUCCCGAGCGUUGUCCGGAUUUAUUGGGCGUAAAGCGAGCGCAGGCGGUUAGAUAAGUCUGAAGUGAAAGGCAGUGGCUCAACCAUUGUAGGCUUUGGAAACUGUUUAACUUGAGUGCAGAAGGGGAGAGUGGAAUUCCAUGUGUAGCGGUGAAAUGCGUAGAUAUAUGGAGGAACACCGGUGGCGAAAGCGGCUCUCUGGUCUGUAACUGACGCUGAGGCUCGAAAGCGUGGGGAGCGAACAGG